rnacentral:rRNA from 1 species
GUGGAGCAUGUGGCUUAAUUUGACUCAACGCGGGGAAUCUUACUAGGUCAGGACCGAUUCAUGAUUGUCACCGUUUGUGUCGCCGGUACAAGAUUGUUGGAUGAGUGGUGCAUGGCCGUUCUUAGUUCGUGGUGUGAUUCGUCGCAUUAAUUUGUUUCGAAUCAAUUGUUGUUGAUCGUAGCAACGAACGAGACCGUGAUCUGUUGCGAGCAGGCGCAACUUAACUACAGAGACAGGGUAAUAUACUACUACACACCAGGAAGGACACGGCAAUAACAGGUCUGUGAUGCCCUCAGAUGUUCUAGGCCGCACACGUGCUACAAUUGAUUCGUUAGUUGUAGUGCGUGUGUUGUGAGAUCCCCCGCGUAGAGUCAAGUUGAGUCCACUAGUUGAGAUCGUCGGUUGUAACUAUCUGACGUCGUAACUAGGAAUGCCUCGUACGGUGGGAUCAACGAGUUCCAUUGGAAUCCGUCCCUGCCCUUUGUACACACCGCCCGUCGCUCUUACCGAUGGCGGUGGUUUCGAAUGUUACCGAGCGACGUAGGUUUAAUAUACUCGCGGCGCAACGUAAUGUAAGGAACCACCGCUAAAGGAAAGAGAAGUCGUAACAAGGCAUCG